AAAACGCGAUCCUGGCCCAGUGUGUGUGCUCGUGUGUUACUGUGUGUGUGUGUCCCACUGCUAAGCCCGACGAACAAAACGGAAACUUUCGAACAUCAUAACCGAGUGUUAAUUUCGAUUCACCUAUUUCGAACCUUUUGACUUCUCCUUCUUCCUUUUUUUAUCAUUUUAUUUUUACGUGUUGUGUUUCUAGUGUGUCUUUCACCUGAAGAGGAAAACUCAUAGGGAGCACUUGGAGAAGGGGGCGCCUCCCCUCUCCCGGCUGCCCCAAUGAGGUGAUGCUAUCAAUAUGUGUGGUUCUCCAAGCAAUAGCGAGUUGGGCAUCUUGCAAAUUUAGAAAGCGAAGCGACCAUGUCCCUCCUGCGUCGAGGAUCCCAAAGGAACUGCUGUUAAAAGGUA